rnacentral:lncRNA from 1 species
GCGGAUCAAAUGGAUAUUCAACUUAAGGUUUAGGUAAUAGAAGAUAUUCAAUAGGCAGAAAUUUAGAACUUUGGUACUAUGAAAUAGAAUAUGCAACAUUUCAUAGCUGUCUUCUCAUAAUGUUGGCAGUCAAAUAAAACCUUGAGCCUCUGAGAGGAAGAUUCCAGUAAGCAUCACCUGUAAUCCAUUUUCAUGUGCCCUUUGCUCGAUUUCUAGUACGGCCAUAACAUCGUCAUUUGAAGGUCCUUCCUCUUGAAGAUGUAAUAUUUCGUCCAAAGCAAGAUCAACCAUGUCAAAAUUUUGUGAUGUUAGGCUUUGUAACCUUCUCCUGUAACAUGCGGAUCAAAAUUUGCAAACAUUUGUCAAAAAUUUGUGAUGUUAAGCUUUGUAACCUUUUCCUGUAACAUGCAGAUCACAAUUUGCAAACAUACCAGUGUCGAUGAAAUGUCUGGAUCACAGGAGAAAUUUAUACUAAUAUCUCCACGGAUAUUGCCAAGUCUGGAAGGCUUAUUGCCGCCAAGAAAGACGGAAACUCCAGCAGAAUAAAUCUAAGGCACAAAA